AUUGAACGCUGGCGGCAUGCCUAACACAUGCAAGUCGAACGGGGGCAGCAAUGCCCUAGUGGCGGACGGGUGAGGAAUACGUAGGAACCGGCCCACGAGUGGGGGACAACCUGGGGAAACCCAGGCUAAUACCGCAUACGCUCGCGAGAGGAAGCGGGGGACCUUCGGGCCUCGCGCUGGUGGACGGGCCUACGUCCGAUUAGCUAGUUGGGUAGGGGUAAAAGCCUACCAAGGCGACGAUCGGUAGCUGGUCUGAGAGGAUGAUCAGCCACACUGGGACUGAGACACGGCCCAGACUCCUACGGGAGGCAGCAGUGGGGAAUAUUGGACAAUGGGCGCAAGCCUGAUCCAGCAAUGCCGCGUGGGUGAAGAAGGCCUGCGGGUUGUAAAGCCC
rnacentral:rRNA from 1 species